rnacentral:rRNA from 1 species
CACCGCGGUUAUACGAGAGGUCCAAAUUGAUAAAAGCCGGCGUAAAGCGUGGUUAAGAAAACCCUAAAACUAAAGCCGAACACUCUCAGAGCUGUUUAAUGCACCCGAGAGCAAGAAGCCCCCGAACGAAAGUCGCUUUAUUCUAUUCUGACGCCACGAAAGCUAGGAAA